rnacentral:rRNA from 1 species
UACAGAGGGUGCAAGCGUUGUUCGGAAUUAUUGGGCGUAAAGGGCGCGUAGGCGGUGCGGUAAGUCUGCAGUGAAAUCUCUGGGCUCAACUCAGAGUCUGCUGUGGAAACUGCUGUGCUUGAGUGUGGGAGAGGUGAGUGGAAUUCCCGGUGUAGCGGUGAAAUGCGUAGAUAUCGGGAGGAACAUCUGUGGCGAAAGCGGCUCACUGGACCACAACUGACGCUGAGGCGCGAAAGCUAGGGGAGCAAACAGG